rnacentral:snRNA from 1 species
UCAGCUCUCUUUGCCUUUUGGCUUAGAUCAAUUGUAGCCUCGUUGCUAGUCGGAUUGAUUUCCGACAAAGGCCCCUACGGGGGUUCUCUGUCCUUGGAUCAAUCUUCUUUUUGGAAACCGGCUGGUGGCCGCUGAGCUUGCUCAUGUCACCGGUCACAGUGUCCCCAGUAUUGCACUGCUUCUGGGUGACGCGACUCUUU